UUUGGGGUCUGGGGGUGGGGGGUUCAGGUGGAGCGGAGGUGCCCCCGCUGCGGGCACGAGGGGAUGUCCUACCACACCCGGCAGAUGCGCUCGGCCGACGAGGGCCAGAGCGUCUUCUACACCUGCCCCCGCUGCAGGUUGCAGGAGAAGGAGGAUUCCUAAAAGAAAUCCUAAAA